AUCAAGGUGUCUGAUUAAAGUAGUAAACUGUAAAUUUAUUUAAGAAAAUAUUUCUCUUGAUA
rnacentral:tRNA from 1 species